UACGUAGGGGGCAAGCGUUGUCCGGAUUUAUUGGGCGUAAAGAGCGUGUAGGCGGCCAAGCAGGUCAGCUGUGAAAACUCGAGGCUCAACCUCGAGACGUCGGUUGAAACCGCUUGGCUAGAGUCCGGAAGAGGAGAGUGGAAUUCCUGGUGUAGCGGUGAAAUGCGCAGAUAUCAGGAAGAACACCCGUGGCGAAGGCGGCUCUCUGGGACGGUACUGACGCUGAGACGCAAAAGCGUGGGGAGCGAACAGG
rnacentral:rRNA from 1 species